rnacentral:rRNA from 1 species
GACGAACGCUGGCGGCGUGCUUAACACAUGCAAGUCGAACGGAAAGGCCAUGCUUUUUUGGGGUGCUCGAGUGGCGAACGGGUGAGUAACACGUGAGUAUCAUGUCCUUGACUUUGGGGUAACUUCAGGAGACUGGGGCUAAAAUAGGGUAGGAGCUACUGCAGCACGGUGGGGGUUGGAAAGUUUCGGCGGUUGGGGCUGGACUAGCGGCUUAUCAGCUUGAUGGGGGGGUAGUGGCUGACCACGGGUUUGACGGGUAGCCGGCCUGGGAGGGCGACCGGCCUCCAUGCGACUGCGAUACGGCCCAGUCUGCUACGGGACGCAGCGGUCGGGAGUCUUGCGCAACGGGCGCACGUCUGUUGCGGCAGCCCCGCGUGCGUGAUGAUGUCCUUCGGGUUGUAAACCGCUUUCUCCUUUAACGAAGCGUUAUUGACGGUACUUGGUAAAGAAGCACCGGCUAACUACGUG